AAAAGGUUCCACUUAAAUUUGAGAAGAAACUUCUCAGUGAGGGUGGCAGAGCCUGGCCCAGGCUGCCCAGGGGGGUUGUGGAGUCUCCUUCUGUGCAGACAUUCCAACCCGCCUGGACACCUUCCUGUGUAACCUCAUCUGGGUGUUCCUGCUCCAUGGGGGGAUUGCACUGGAUGAGCUUUCCAGGUCCCUUCCAAUCCCUGACAUUCUGUGAUUCUGUGAUAGAACAGGUUUGGUUUGAUUUUCUUCCUCUUCUGAUCAUUCUUCUUGCUAACUUGUACAAGCAAAUAUUGUGCAAAGUGUAGGCAGCAGGUCAGAAUGGCGCAGCUCAGCCACUUGCUGUUGUACAGAAGCAACGCAGCAGCAUCGUGUCCUGACAUCGUUGGCUUCCCAGGGACCCGGUCACAGUCUGAGAGAGAAACUGCAGGAAUUGCACAAGAUCCUCGCACAGCUACAAUCAGAUGAUCUCCUCGCUCCAGCUCCACUCCCUUCAGCUACCGACUGUUCCUCACCAUGGCCUAAGGAUUGUGAAAGAAUGUGGGAUGUAUCAGGUGUGAACUAGUUCAGUUCGUUUGGAUCCAAGAGCUCUCAGCAACAGACAGGACGACAAAUAACCUUGGGAAAGGGGGUGUUGACAAGCUGGGAUUUGUGGAAACCGACUGGAAGGAUCAGGAACCUGCACACGCAGCUCCCCUCACUCCUUCAGCAGCCACAAACACCCCCACCAUGAGAGCGUCUCUGCGUUUCCCUUGCCAUUGAAAAGGCAUUUCGAUGAAGUUCUGCUUUAGCUGAAGUCAGAACUAGCCCUUGAGAGCUGGUGCUGUCAAGGCUUCUGCCCAAGGGGAUUCCUGGUAGCAUCUACCAUGAAGAUGUGUACAGCCCUGUGUUUCCACCUCCACAGACUCCCUCACAGUUGUUUCGUUGCCCCAGGACCACUUUCCCAGAGCAAACUGAUCCCAUCACCUAAAAAGGCAACUGAUCAGCAUCAGGGAGCAAGCAACCUAAUUCCUUGAAAGGAUUAUGCAGGACGUGAUCCCAGACAGUACCUUCAAAGAUCAGAAUGUCUCCCUAGUUCGGCUUCGUCAAAAUUCAGCAUCAAACACACAUCCAAGUAGCUAUUUUCUCAGAUUUCCACUGCACUAAUAUCUCAGUAACCAUCUUAUAGAACCGCACUAGACCACUGAGAAGUUCACACGAACAUCCCAUGUUCCUGAUGUCUGUCUCCACAUACAACCACAGGCAGGCCAGAGGUGAUCCAGAUCCCUUGUGCUCAUCCUCAGCAGAGCAGAGCUCAUUUCACACUGAGUAUCAAUGACAGUAGGAUCAUAGAAUAGCAGGUGGAAGGGACCACAAGGAUCAUCUGCUGCAACCUUUCUUAGUAUAAGCCUGGUCUAGACAACAUGGCCCAGCACCCUGUCUGGCUGAACCUUAAAACAUGUCCAUGUCCAGUCCAACUCCACUCUGCACCAGUCUCAAGCAGAUUUGGAUUUGUCCAGGUUUCUUUUGAAAAAGGAAACCCUCACCCAGCAGCGUGAAAUCACACGCAGCUCUGUCACGCUGAGAGCCCACACUGUAAAACCUUCACUGCUCCAAUCCGGGAAGCACAAUGACAAAUGACUCCAGUCAAAAGCUUACAGCCAGGACCUAAAUCUUCCACCACCUCUUUUCAGCGUGAAUUCAUUUUAGGUGUUCUGUGAGAUAUAUUGAAGUUUGCAUUCCUCCAACUGCAAAAAUAGAUUGUUCUAGUUAUUAAAAUUUUAAAAAUUAAGGAAAAAAUUGAAAGGUAAACCAGAAAGGAAAUACUAGUGUAGUCAGAAAUCACAGUCAUGCCAACGAAUUGCAGCGGUACUAAGACACUUGUGCUGUAUUUUUGCAGUAGCACCAAAGAAGAAAAAAAAGACUCAGAGAGACUCUUUUUGAAGGCAGUUUAAGGUUAAAAUGAAAGCAGAUGUCAAAACUUAACCUGCACUACACCAGCUGCCUGACUGUAGUGGGAGCAAGAAUGGGCCAAAAAUUGUUCAUCUGCUGGUUAUUCCUCCAGCAGCUGCGGUACAUUCCCUGACCAGUAUGGGGUUUUAUGCCUGAAUCACAUAUUUUGCCCAUCGUGGCUCUGUUCUCCAAACAGCCUUCCUCUUUUCCACUAGGCACCUUACAUCAUUUUUCUCUAGCUGACCAAGUUCAGUCCGACACAGAAGACACUACAAAAUCUCAGUUUUCCAGGAAGCUGCGGUUGGACUUCCCAGGACACAGGCUGCAAGGUCCUCUUGACAGCUGCCUUGGUCCCUCGGUCCCCAUCAACCUCCUCGUCGUGUCACUGUGCAUCACUCCAUACAGGUUGACACAUCUACCGACAUUCAGCAAGGAGAACUCCUAUGCCACUCAGGCAGUAGAAACACAAAAAAAUAUCAGAUAUCAAAGAUUCGGAGACAAUAACUAAAGAGACUGACACCUGCAUGUUUGUGUAUCUGGGCCCCUGAGAUUAUUAUGCAGAAAUUACCAGGUAAACUUGAGUCUUCCAAUGUCUCGGUCACCCACUAGACCAGGACUUCUCAGGUCAUCCAUCGUGACCUGUUUAGUAGAAUAUUUUCUUUUCUGACAAUUGUGGAUCAAGAUCAACUGGAACCGUGUAUCAGACUUGGGGAAUAAACAGUUACUGAGCUGAAAACAUUUUAAAAUAAAGCACUAUUUUUUAGUGAAAAAUAUUUGAAAAUUAAUGUUUCAUUUCAACUUAAAAAGAAUAUUUUAUUUUACUUUUAAAAAAGUUUUUACUGUUUUUUUAUUCAGCCAGCAAAACAAAAAUAUUCUCAAUUAUUUCCACAGUGCUGCUUAGAUUUGAGCUCAGAAUAGAUUUCAGUACAGAAGAAAAACAAUCAAGUGCUGUGUUGCUAAGUCCAACCAACUAAUUCUUAGUUCUGCAAUAGUGGACUUUUUCUUAAAGCCCCAGGUUCUUGAAUCAUGCGAUUAUAUGAAAAUCUCAGCUUGCUUUCCCACAGAAAGUAGAGGUCUGAUAAUUUGGGCUGCAAACAAAAGCUCACAUGGUGGAACACUGAAGGCUUCAGUGCCCCCAACAAUCAAAACAUGUAUUUUUCCAUCUUACCAAUUUUAAAGUCAAUCUCAUAAUACGGGAUGGAUAUUAUUUGUGAUUUUUUAACUCAUAGGGUAGGGAAUAUUGCAAAUGGCUUUCCAGAAGCUAUGGAGAAAGAUGCUUCAGGAUACCCCGAUCCUUUUUAACCCUUCUCUGUUAUUGACCCCUUCCCCCAUUUGUUUUGGGGAAGGAAACCAUCAACCAGACCCAUACAAACAGUAAGAGUUAAUUUGUUGCAAUGUAUCUGAGUGUAGUAACUGAUUACAUUUUUCCCCAAAGGAAACUUCAGUUAAUUUGGUUAGUGACUCAUAUGCCAGGCUGCCAAUUACAACACAGAUGAUUACACACAUAAAUUCACGUCGGAGUGGCUCAACGAUCACAGGGAGGAAGGAGGAAAAAAAAAAAAAACAACCAGAAAUUAAAAAAGGCUCCUCUUUACCUGCCUGGGGUUGGGGAUGGGUGAGCACCCACUCUGCAAGGGGCUGGGUGCCCACCAAUUUCAUUGGAGACCGAGUGCCAAAGCCUACAAGACUGGAACAUGAGCUCUCGGAGAUGGCAAUGUCUUCUAGCUUUCCAUUUGGGAUUUUUAUUGCAGAAUUGUGCUGCACACUCUCCAAAAUACUGUUUGCCAGUGUCGUUAGAGGAAUCCAUGCACAAAGAGAGCGGGAAGGAGGUUAAAUAAGCAGUGCUUGGCAGUACAUCAGUAAAUCAUUUAAAGAUAACCUGUGCAUACCAAUAAAAAAUAAAAAUCCAAUUAAAGAAAGUUUUUACACAGCUAGUCCCAAUUCUGAAGCGUUUCAUAUUCCUAAGGAGGAGUGGGAGAAGGGGAGGAAAGAAACCGGACAAGGAGUCAGGGUCUGAUACUAUAAGAUGAGGAAAGCCCAAGGCAGGCAUUAGAAAGGAAUUCCUACAUGCCUCAUCAAUUGGCCAAUGAAAUCAAUACUGAGGGGAGUUGGCAAAGCUCCUGAAUACAUAUAUUUAGAGAAAAUUAGACUUUGCACUUAAAAGCAAUAGGAAGCUCUGACAUUUGGUGGAGAGCGUAGGAGGAAGAAGGUGUUCUUUUAUCUUAAAUGAAAGCUACUUCACUGGCCUAAAAUGUAUUUCUACUUAGACAUUCCUUUAGAUAAAGAGCUGUAUACAUUUCCUUCAGUUAGGGUCAACAGGCUAGCCAUAGGAUAAUUCAUGCCGUUUUUUUGCUGGAGAGGUCAAAAUCCUCUACAAACAGCAAUUAAGAUUUGUGGCACCAGGGUACUAUUAUUCCCAUUUUACAAGGGAAUAAAUAAAAGGAUGUAGCAGCUAAGAGAUAUGCCCAAGGUCAUUAAGCAAGGCAGUGGCAGAAUCCAGCAUUACACACAGACACCUGGUUUCCCAUCCUCACCUCUCACCAAUAGGCACCAACCCUACAUUGGCCUUUAUUAAAUAACCAUUACAAAAUGUAUUAAUUUUCAUUUGGAACUAUGUAAAUUGACUCUUUCCCAAAAGACAGCAACUGGCCGUUAAAUAAAUAUCAAGUGAUUAUUACAAUCAUAUUUGCUGAAGGGUGGAUCAUCAGCAUAAUGUGCUGGGUUCAAUAAAAACGUUAUUGCCUGUCAAAUAAACAUGAUGAGCAGAG